ensembl:lncRNA
CGCAAUAAAUGUGUUUUCAUGGCAUUAGACAUAACAUAAAGAACUGUUGAUCUUUUUCCCAGAUUUUUCUAAUUUAUGUAAAGAUAUCACAUACUGAGUCAAUUCUUCUAAUCUCUCAAGGUUAGCUAUCUUAAAUGCUGUGGAGAAAGUUUAUGGUUCAACAAUUGACAAGCAUUUAUGAUGCUGUAAACCCUUUAUUGUAUGUUGGAUCAGAUACUGAGACCAAAGACAAUCAGUGGCUUUCAUGGUGUGCAUCAAGAGAAUCAAGAUGAAAAAAAAAAGGAAAAGUUGCACUACACUUCUAAAGAAUCAAGAUUCUUCCCAAGAAAACAAAGAAAAGACAUUGUCAUGGGGAGCAGACAAUAGUUUCAUUCUCUGACACCAUGGCAAUCAGUGCUGCAGACAGAUCACUUCUUGGAUCAGGUAAGUAUUGCAGAAGGAAAAUCUGUUGCACCAAAUGAAAAUAAUUUCAAGGUGGAGAAUAAGAAAGUACUUAAGAAAAAACUCUCGAUAAUGGGAAGAAUGGAUGUAUUAUGCCACAAUAAUGAACCCAGAAGUUAAACCCUUGAUAAGAUAAAGGACUUUUCUACAGUAUCCUUAUGGUGGAUUCUGGCAGCAAACAUGCAUGGCAAUUUGGCUACUCUUUUCCAGUGUGGAACUAAUAAGCCAAGACAGAUUUGGGCAAUAUUUCAUGCUGCCUAAUUGCUUUAUAUCCUGUCCCUUGCUGUCACUAGAGAAGACUGUCACAUGAAGAAUGAAAUUUGAUUGAUUUAACCUCCCCAUAAGAAUGUGUUUUUCUCAUUUUCUGAAGAACAAAUAAGGUAUCUCAGCAUGCAGAGCCAAAUCAACAGGUUAAUUCUGCUUUUGCUGUAAGUGUUGGGAAGGAAAUUACAAAGGCUAGGUGAUUAAAUUUUUCAGAUAUAAGUAAAAGUCUCCAUUCUGUCACAAUCUAGCUGCAUGACUCGCAGAACCAGAAGCAAAAGAGGUCUCAUGACUCUUUGUCUUGCAGUGAUGUCAACAUAGACAAAAACAGAAUGAAAUUCCUGAAGUGCAGUUUAGACAGACUGUGGGCUCACACACCCAGUAGGCCAGUCCAAAAGACCCUGCCCAGCUGGCAAGUACAUGAGAUUUUUCUGGCCUUGUGUGCCUGAAGUUGCACAGCUGCUUCACGUCCAGGAGCAAGUUAGCCGGACUGACCAAGGAAACUUUCUGAGAAUGCCAUUUUCCAGUAACUACUGACUUUUAUGGAAAUCAGAUCUAUAAGGUCAUGCAUUCUGCUUCUGUAUGUUUCUCCUGUGCAACCUACUCUUGGGAACCUGAUUUAGCAGGGAUGUUGGACUAGAUGACCUCCAGAGGCCCCUUCAACUCCUGCACCUCUGUCACUGUGAUUCCAUGACGUUUGCUUACUGCCGAAGCAACACAGUGGUUGAAGAGAGCUAGAUUUUCAAAAACAAGAUCUACAAAAGCAUCAUGAUGAACAAGGAACCAUUUAAUCUGGUCUUGCUUUUUCUUUCCCAUCAGAAACACUUCAGACACAAGAAAAACUUCAGAAAUCUAAAAAUUACAAGAGUGGAAAUAUUUGGGAAUUGUGAAAAAGAGGACAUGACGUAGAUAUUUGGAAUAUACUCUACAUAGCCAACACUUCCACCCAGCUUUUCAACAACAACAACAACAACAACAAAAGGCUCCCUGCUCUCUCUGGUAUAAAUCAGCCCCAGUCACUCAACAGUCUGAAAGACACUGAGGCAAGGAUGGGUGAAAGACAAAGUUAUUUCAUAUUUCUAAUUUGAAGAUGAGAAUCGCAGUGAAAACUUUGGACAUACUUCUGAUUCAAUAAGCCUAUAAAAGCAGAAUGUAGAAAAGAGUAACACAGAGAAGAUUCAUGAAUGGCUCCAAGGAAAGAGACACUGGUUAUCAGCAUCUUGUGCAAGGGAUUGGCAUCAGUCCCACGUUCCAGUGAGUCCUCUGCCACACGGCUGUUCGAUGAUCUUGCAAGAAACUCAGGCUGUAUUUCUAAAACAAUGGCUUUGAAUCUGCAGUCCAAAAAUCCCUGAGAGUUCACGGCCCUUUUCUGGAAAUGUGAAGUUAACAAGAUAAUUCUCAAGAAGCAUAAAGUUGAUAUGCUGCCAUCUACAGCUUCACUGGAAAAAGAUUUAAGCUCUGCUCGCUGAGAAGGAUAAAGACUGCUGCUCUUCAUUAUCUGAUCUGACCAUCUUCAGUAGUCAUAUGGAUGCCGGAGAAAGUUUAAAGUAAAUAUAAGACUCAUCUGGCUGUGACUCAGUCUAGAAAAUAAAAACGUAUUAUUGCUUAAGAAAAUAGCCAGAAAAGAUAUGCAAAACUGUAGGGUGACUUUAGAGAGAAGUGUGGGAGCAAGUCUUUAGAGUCAUAUUGUACUCACAGCUGCUAUUUGGACAGAAAAGUGCAGUUUAGCCAUCUCUGUUUUUCACUCUAUUUCAUGUAAUCCAGAAUUCCACUUUUCAGGAGCAGAUCUUACCAAUUUGUUAAAGAUCUCCUUGAGGUCUUUCACGAGGAAAUCUUAUAGCUUCUGCCAUUAAUGCCAUGAGAUCUCUGACCUAGACUACUAGGACAGCAAUUUUAUGGGGCUAAACCAUAGGCUUACCCCAGAGAUAAGGCCAGUGCAGAAUUCAGAAAAUUAUUUUUUACGUGGCACCUCUUUCAAAUCAUGCCUGGUAUAAGGGCCCUCACACUUGCACUAGCUCUUUAAGGGUUACUAUUUCAGUCACAAGCUUUGCCCUGCAGUUCCACAAAGAUGCUGAAAAAAUGGUUCUCCCCAUUUCCAUAGCUGUACAGGUAUUAUCCAAGAAUGUCUGGUAUGGUGGUGGAUUCAAGAACAAAGGAAAGAAUGGGGCAGGGUUUUGGAUGAAUUUACCUGAUAUUUAGAGACUGCUUUUUUUCUUUCAAACUGAAACAAUUAUAAUUUUAUUUUAUUUAGGACAUGUUCAGAUAAUCACAAAUUUAAGGUAGUUAUUAAUAGUUAUAAGAUUAAAUUCUGUGUUAUAAAGUUAUCUAUAAUUAUUUUUGUCUAUUUUUGGAAACCAGUGACCUGCAAAGUUUGGGCAAGAGCUGUGGAUCCUGACUACUUUAUCAGGAAAACAACAGCAUUUCAGUGUCAAGAAACUGAGAAAACACAAAUUUUGCUUUGCUUAGAACAAGGUCUAUUAAAUUAAUGCCUGCAUUUGUUUUUAACCUAGUAGACUUUCUCUUCCCUCCACUCUCUCUUCUCCAUAUAUAGAAGUAUUCAACAGUUAUUAUAUAUUUGAAAUUCUUAGCUACCAGAAAGUAGCAUUAAUAGCUGGAAGUGCCUUUACAAAGGAAAUGUUCAUUAUUUUAUAGAUUGGAUAGACUUGGACUGUAAUUACAUACUCAAGAUCAUGAAGGAGACUCUUGAAAUUGUUUAGAAAUAAAGCUCUGAGCUACUUCCAAGCUUACGGCUGUUGUUGGUUUUGCCCUUUCCUAGAUGAUGUCAGACAAAUGAGGGAGUAAUAAGGAAUAAGGCAUCUAACUUUUAGACAAAUUGAACUCUAAAUUACCUAUAGCACUGACCAAGGAGACUUCAUCCUUAAGAACAAAAAACGUGAGAAAUCUGAGCUGGCUGUAGGAAGUAGUAUAGGACUUUGUGCUUUCUACCCAAAGAAAACCAAAGGUGGGACAGUCAAGCAAAUUACCACCUCCAUGAGGAACUGUGCUCUACCUGGUAACCUUUGUGGAAAGAGAUGAGUUACCAGAGCCCAACUUACAUGCAGUCACUCACAAAGCUACAGGCAGUCACCAGUGGAUGCUUGGACAUCUGCCCAACAACCCAUUUUUAAGCCAAGAAGUUAGACAUACGCCCCAGUCAACCCCCUUCACAGGAGCUGGGUAAAAAAGAAACACCACAUAUUACUCUUAAGGAUACCUGAGAUCCAAAGCUAUGGGACAGAACUAAGAAAAGUUUUUUUCCAUUCCUUUACAUGGAAUCCAGGACUCUGUGCACAAUUUCUUAAAGAUCUGCUGGAUCUGAGGGAUGGAGAUAGUAUGGUGAAAUAAAAUAAAUGCAUAAGCAAACUGGUAAGAGAUGGGCCAACUUUUCUAGCCAUGAAUGUUUCAUACCAAACAAACUAAUAAUAUUUUAAGAAUAGCCAAGUCAAACGUUACUUCAUAUUUAACUAAAAUGUUUUUAAAAGCAGAACAAACGACAACAAAUACUGAGCAAAAUCUUUCAAGCAAAUUGAAAUCAUUUUGUCCAUCACUGUUUUUAUUAUUAUUAUUAUUAUUAUUAUUAUUAUUCUGUCAGUGGAUCAGGAUAUUCAUUUUUGUGAUAGGUUCCAUUUAGUCUUUAUAAGAAGAAUUCAUGGUCUGUGGGAUGCUUUUCUCCUCCUGUGGGCUUGUGUAAUGGGUAUUGUGAGCCAUCACAUGGUUGUUCGGGAGAAGGUGCAACAGAAAAGGAUUUCUCUUAUUGCCAGAUAAAUUCUUUGAAGUAGGAUGGCUGCAAGCCUUUCCUCAUGCCACACUUUUCUGUGAGGACUAACAACAGCUGACCAACUUCAUCCCUGCCUCUUUUGUUUGCUGCCUUUGGCUUAUAGUCCACUGCCGGUGAAGAGUCAGAUGCCUCAGACUUAGAUGUUUUUAUGUCUAUCAGCCUCAUAGCUGGUUCCCAUAGCUUCUCACAUUGUUUUGAACCUGAAAAGGGGGCCAAGCUGAACACAUCCAAAUCCUUUCAUUUGAUCCUAGUUCACAUCAGCCAAAUGAAUGUGGAAUAUAAAGCACUGGAAGCAGAAGGUAAGGAUUAGGUUGAGUGCUGCCAGGCCUGUUCUGAAGAAGAGAUCUCAUUUAGGAUCCAUAUCUGUCAGUGAUGCUCACAGUUCUGAUACUGUACAUGGAAAGGUACAGAUGUUUGGAAAGUUCCCAAAACUCAGCAAAUUUAUUCUCCAAAGACAGGCAGCAAGACUUACUUACUGGCCUUCUAGUUCCCUUUGGCUGACUUCACCAAAAGAAAGAGUUUGUUCCCUUGGAGUACGCUUGUGUGGAGACUUGCAUAGUGAUGUGCAUGUGUUUCUUAAAGAAGAAGAAGAAAAAAAAAAAGCAGUAAAAGAAAAUCUCUGGUCAACGUAGUUUAUCCUGUAGAUUUCUAUUAUCCAAGCUAAAUGUAAAAGUGUUUACAGAAAAGAUAGUCUCUCCAAGACCACUGGGAUAGUAAGGCUGUGUUUUUUCUUCCUAAGAAGCUGUGUUUUUUCUUCCUAAGAAGUUGUGUUUUUUCUUCCUAAGAAGUUGUGUUUUGGAGAUGAGUUCUUCUGUACAUUCCCAGGUGUCUAACAUGCACAAAGCUCAAUUCUGUCACUGAAGUAAUUAACAGAGUCUCUCUUCUAAGCAGCUUGUCAGAACUUAAUAUCUCUGAUACCUUCACUUCUCUAAUUGUGGGCUCAAAUAUUUUUAGAGGAAGAUGGGCCAUGAAAAAGAGUGAGAGAUGAGUUGGCAUGAGUCAACUGAGUGUGUGUUUCUUUCACAGUCCCAGUGCAUGUCUCGUAUUCCCCCAAUAAUUUCACCCUUGUUACUGUUCCUUCACUUUUCUCUUCAUAUCAUGCAUGUAAUGCCCACCUUGAGCUUGCACAUAUGCCCACACACUAAACCACCACUAGGAAAUACUCUGCUACAGUACAUAUAUAAAAAUUACAUCACUUUAUUAAUCUUACAAUUAAAUUUGCUAGUCAGCUCUCACUGAGUUUUGUGUUUUGCACACAAUUUUCAUGGUAAGACUACUCAAUGGGACUGAUUAGUAUAAAAAGUCAUCUUCCAUCCACACUCUGGAGGUGGGAGCCAGUAGGGAGUGUGGAGGAGAGAGGACACACAAAACGGCAGAGAUUUCAGGAGCAGUGCUGACUCACUUCUAAAUUGCUUACUUGCUUUUAGAUCAAUUUUAUAUUUAUAGUGGGAGCCAUAAAUCUUAAGAAGACAAGAUUCCUAUUCAUGCUACUUUUCAUAACUUAUUUUGAACUCCCCACCUGAAGAACAGGCUGAAAGCCCCAUGACUGUAGUAUAUUAUCAUUCAUGAUGCCUGCCCAAGAAACGAGGCAAAUAGAUCUUACCAAAAAGAUAAAACACAUAAAUUUUAAGCCUCCUUACACGAUAUGUAAGUUCAAGCAAAUAUCAUCCAGUGGUGAAGUGACCUUCAAUAAUUUAGAAAAUUAUUUUUUUCAACUAAGAUUUUUGAAGUUUGUGAAAGCAUUUUAUUUCUUAUUUGCCUGUAUAUUAUACUAUUGAAGCGUCAAAAAUUUCCAAGGGUGAGAAAUUUCAGUUUCCAAUCCUUCCUUGAAGUUACACAGAUUUCCACAGAUUUCUCAUAAAUCUGAGAAGAUUUUACUUAAUUUAAUGGUUAUAUGAGAGAUUAGAAAAAUCCCCAUGGGAAAAAAAAAAAAAAAAAAAAAAGAAGACACAUGGAAAAUAGUUUUGUAAAUCAAAGAUUGUUGUGAUGAACUUUGUUUUAUUUUUUUCUGUUUUAUACAAAUGUCUUUAAUUAUUUAAUUUUAAUAAAAUUAAUUUUAAAUAAAAUUAAAUUAAAUUUUAAAAAAAUUAAUUUUAAUUAGUAACGGCAAAAUAAACAAAUAAUAUUAUGCUUUAAAUCUACUGAAUCUUUACAAACAAACUGAGCUUUAAAAUCACACAGCAUUAGAAGUAUGAUCUGAUGGGUUUUUUUUUGUUUUGUUAGGUUUUUUUUUUUUUGUAAUUAUUUUGCUAUGUUCUUAUUAUUCACUGAGCAAUUCCUACUGCAUACAGUAAGACUGGGAUUGAGAUCUAAGAUAGUUAUUUGAAAACAAAAUAAAGUUAUUUAUACACACAUACAUACACAUACAUAUAUGGUAUAAUUAUUUUUAUGUAUGCGAGUAUAUAGUCUAGCAAACUUUAGCAUAUAUCACAAUUUUCUUCUUUACUGGUGCACUACAUCCUGUUGAAAUAGUUAAAAAAAAAACUGUAAUUCUGAUCAGAGAUCAACGUGUGUUGAGCUCAUUGCAGCUAUACAUAACAUCCUCACAAGGUCUUGCAGAUGUUACUUAGGUUUGCCAAAGAGUUUCAACACUCUGGGUGAGGUCUUGAACUCAGGUUUCACCGAUCAAAUGUAAUCUGCAAGUCCUCCUUGAGGCAGAAAGGAAACUACACAAGUUUCAGAUGCACUGGUCAGCUGAUCUUUCCCAUAAACUUUUAUUUUGUUUUGGAAAAACCCAUGGCAAAAAGUUACUCUCCCAACACCAAAGAGGGCUUCAUGGGAAGUUUAUCAAAAGCAUCCAUGUGGGUAAACAGAGCUAAGUAUCAAUGUGCAGCACUUGCUUUGUUGUACUCAGGAUAAAUACAUUAGAAGGACUUAGAUUAACAGGAAGAAAUGUUACUCACUUUAUCUUAUUCAUGCUAUAAAAAUCUACUCCUUGAUGAGAACCUGAUUCAGUGCCUUGCAAACAUAAAUAUUUAAAGAAAAAUCACUGGGCUUCUGAUUAAUUAUUACUACUGCUUAUUUACCUUCAAUCCAUUGUAUCAUGCAUUGCAUUCUGAUAUAAUAAAGGAAAACUUGAAGGAUAUAAAUAGUAAAUAAGGAUAUAAUCAGGUUAAAGAGCCAUGAGGAAAAGACCAUUCCAUAAGUGUUUCCCAAUGCUGCUUUUUAGCCCACAGAAAAGAUAAGAUAAAGACAGUAUUAGUCAGAUGCAUGUUCACUCCCUCAAGUUUGUCAGCCACCCACGCAGUUCCCAUUUCAGCAAAAGUAAUAUAACAUGGUACCAGUAAUGUUUUAUCUCAUCAUAUUUUUGAAGAGCAAAUUCUCCACAGGGAAAAAUACUCUUGUGACACUGACCUUCCCAGUGAAUGGGGUUUUCCUGACCAUGAAGUUUCACUCAUCUAUUUUGACACUUGUUUUGGUACAGAGUGAGCCCUCUGGACGGAUUCUUGUGAGUUCUCUGAAAAGUCCUCAGUAAUUAUCAUCUUUUAUAUGUUCAGUUCCACCAAGCUGUGACAAAAUGAGAAUUCAGAAACAGUCAGACUGAAACAAUUUCAUACUUGGAGGAAAAAAAAAAAAAAAAAGAAGGAAGAAAGAAAAGAAAAGACAAGUUGCUCAAGAUCACUUGGAUUAGUGAAUAUAUGUCAUACAAAUAUACGCAAAAGGAAACACAGAUACAGGUACUUAGCACUGGUGGGCAUUUAGCUUUAAAAAGAGAGUUACUUUUGUCUCUUACUUCCAAAUUUAUGGUAACUUUGACAUAAAGUCAUUAUCUCCACUGCACUCAAUGGCAAGUGAAUUGGUUCCAAAGAUAUCAAUCUAACUAUCUGACACUGAUGCACAAAAUACUUCGAGUUACGGAUUGUUUUCAAAGAGGAAAAUGGCAUUUACCAUUCAAAAUGAUGCUUGAGAGGAAGCUAAUUUUGGCAAAAUAAUUCAAUCGAGAAGAUGCAGUUAGAUCCUCCUAUUUACCAAUUAUUUCAAGAAUAGCAACAGAGUUUCUGUACCUCUUCUUCCCUAGUAUUUAUGUGUGGUUUUCAUUUCCCUAUUUUUAGUUUCAUCUAGGCAGCUGAAAUGCUAAACCAUCAGACUAAAUAAUGAAAAGGAUGCAUGAGGCCAAAACAGUCACCAGGGGAGACAGUUUACUUUUACAUAGAUAAGCAGAUCUUUCUUAAGAAGAAGAUUUAUCUUUCUUAAUCUUCUUUCCAUUAAUGACCUCGGAGAUCUUAAAAGAUCUAUAACAGCUGCACUUAAAAAUGCUUGUGAUCAGUCUAAGUUAAUGCUUCAUUACUUAUGAUAAUUUUCAAACUUCUGGCAUAUCAGAGAGCUGAA